rnacentral:rRNA from 1 species
UCCUGAGGAUUAACCCUUUCGUUUCCUUCCAUCUUCAUCAUUUUACAACCCGAAGGGCUUCUUGCUUCACGCGGCAUUGCUGGAUCAGGCUUGCCCCCAUUGUCCAAGAUUCCCCACUGCUGCCUCCCGUAGGA